UACGUAGGGUGCGAGCGUUAAUCGGAAUUACUGGGCGUAAAGCGUGCGCAGGCGGCGCGUUAAGACAGGUGUGAAAGCCCCGAGCUUAACUUGGGAAUUGCGCUUGUGACUGGCGUGCUGGAGUGUGGCAGAGGGAGGUGGAAUUCCACGUGUAGCAGUGGAAUGCGCAGAUAUCAGGAGGAACACCAAUAGCGAAGGCGGGUCUCUGGGCCGUAACUGACGCUGAGGAGCGAAAGCGUGGGGAGCGAACAGG
rnacentral:rRNA from 1 species